GGGGGUCGUGGGGGAUUUUGGGGUCCCCUUCAGCCCCUCCGUGCCCCCCCCCAGAUCUGCCAGCCCCUCCCGUUAAGCCCCACCCGGGGGUCCCUGUGGCGGCUCCUGCACCGGACCAGCCUCGUGCACCCUGAGGUCGAGUUUCAUUUCUGUGUCAGCAUCGAUGGGAAGGUCACGUCCCGAACCCUCAGGCCGCCCUGCAGCCGUCUCCGCCCGUGCCCGGGGCCGCCGCUGCCGCUGCCGGUACCGGCCCCGCUGGCGGCCGCGGGCUUCGGGGGGGACCUGCAGCUGCUCCCGGUCAGCGCCCUCAGCCCCGCCGGGACCCCNACACCCCGGGGGGCGGGGCCUGAGGCCACGCCCCUCCGCCGUCACCACGGCAACGCCCCAUGGCCACGCCCCCUCUGCUCGCUGCCAU
rnacentral:lncRNA from 1 species